GGCCCGCACAGAGCUUCCAUUCCUGUCAGAAGGCCUCUCAAGGAGGCCGGGUCGCAGAACCUCGGGUUCAGGGGGCCCCUGCGCCCCAGGUCCGGCCCACGUGGGAUGCUGUAUGUCGGACCAGACCACGCUGCUUCCUUCAGUCGGCCAACCUCUCAGGCACAGUCUUGAACUUGAGCAAGAGGGCGCUCAGUUGUGUUCACUUGCUUCUCAGGGGUUCUAUCAAAGGUGUAGGUUAGGAUGCCCAAUAGUGCCCGAUAUCGGGAAGUCAGCCCUAUUGAACAUGCUUUCAUCGGCUGAUAAUAUGUAUUUCUCGUGUAGAGUGCCUAGUUUAUAAUGAGUUCUCCAGAUUAAUCUCUCCAUUCUUACACAUAGCAUAUAGUAAGUAACAACAUUUAAGGAAGACUUCAAUCUCAAACCCAGAAAUCCUAUCCUCCUCUACAAUUUGGCUUGGGAAGUUUCUCUUCAUUAAAGUCUUGCUCAGAAUUCUGCAAAGCAAUUUCCUAUGAACUUAACUAAGUUUCUAAGUAACCUUAGUCUUUUAUUUAAAGUCUUGACUUUAGCACUUAAUUCUGUAUUUAAAGUAGAGACAUUUGUGGGGAAAGAUUACUGUUUCACAGUGCAUUCUUGCUGAAGAAAAUCUAGAAAAUACAGAAAGUUAAAGGGUCUGAGUAACAGCAGUAGAAGUCAGAUUUUGUGAUUUCUACUUUUGAGUGAGUUGGAGUAACGCCAGGGUUUUGAUAAGACUUCCCUUGUGUUUAAAGGGGACACACUGAAAUGUGUCAGUGUGUAGGACAAGAAUACAAGUAGAAAGCCUUUUUGGAGGCUACUAAAAUAGUGCAAACAGGAAAGAAUUGGUGGAAAUUUAAAAGAUUAUAAUGGGGGAUGGUGAGAAAUUGCUUAGAUUCUAGAAACAUUCUAAAGGCAAAAGCAACAACAUCUGUCCACUGAUGGAGGAUGAAAUGGCCAGCAAAUGAGAUGAGGAAAGCUAUAUAUAGGGAAGCAUAGUGAAAUGAUGUUUCAUGGAACAAUCACAAAAGAGCUUACCAGUCAUGAAGAGUGGAGUCACUACAAUGAAAAUAUAAUAGAAGAUCAGAAAGACUUUGUGUUUGUAAAGUAUAAUGGCCUCCAUCUGAAGUCCAUGGAGAAUCUGCAGUCCUGCAUCUCUCUGAGAGUGUGCAUCUUUUCUAACAACUUCAUUACUGACAUCCAGCCACUGCAGAGCUGCAUAAAGCUCAUCAAACUUGAUCUCCACGGAAACCAGAUAAAGACUCUUCCAGAUAGAACUUUUUGGGGUGGACUCAAGAACCUAAAACUCCUCUACCUUCAUGACAAUGGCCUUGCCAAGCUGAAGAACAUCUGCGUGUUAGAUGUGUGUGCAAGCCUUAUAGGGUUGACCAUGUUUGACUGCCCAGUGAGUCUUAAGAAAGGCUACAGGCAUGUUCUUGUCAAUAGUAUCUGGCCUCUCAAAGCCCUGGACCAUCACGUUAUAUCUGAUGAAGAAAUCAUUCAGAACUGGCAUCUUCCAGAGAGAUUUAAGACAUUCAACCACAGGCUAUUCUUUAACCUUUGCCCAGCACUGAUAAAGGGUACAACCUAUGAGGAUGAAAUUAAAAAUAUCAAGCAGAUAAUUUCAAGGAUUAAUGGGAUUCUGGCUCAUAAUUCACCAGUGUUGAUUGUUCAAAGAUGGAUACGUGGUUUCAUAGUUAGGAAACGCUUGAGCCCCUUUUUUAAACGUAAAAAGCCUAAAGACAAAAUGAUUAGGGUACUUGAAACGAAAUGGAUCUGCAUAGGUAGAAGACAUGAAGACAAAAUCAUGGAGGACAUCUUCCUUCUCAAACCUGAGUCUCACAUGAAAGGGAAGGUCGCACACUGGAAAAAAAUCAGAUGUACUCCUGCUGACUUUAAAUACUCUCCUGAGUACAGAAAAUGCAUUUCCCAUCUUUCGUGUGAAUUAAAAACAAAAGCUAUCGACAGAAAACCAAAACCACCAAGACGUCACAUUCAGAAAGAUGAGAAGGAGUCUAAAGCUGACUCUGAAGAUGAAGAAGUGGACACUGGGUUUAGGAUAUCUGCCAUGAAGAUUCCUUUAUAUCCUCCUAGAUCACUCAAGUAUGGUGCGGUGUUAAAGGAGAUGAAAAGAGAUUAUUUCCCCGAUUAUCUUCUGCCACUUCCUGCCACUCGUCCAAAGCCCGCCGUUCAGAGAGCAACUCUGAAGGAGCUGAAGGAAAGGAGAGACUGUGUAACUUCCCGAAUCGCAGGCUUGAAUUUCCACCUUCUUACUGAUCUUGAUAAAUAUCACGUAGAACAAAAGCGCCAAGAAAAACAAGCAGAAAAAUCAACAGCUGUAGUCAGGGCACAAAUUGCCCAGGAAAGAGCUAGGCUCAGUGUUAGAGAGAAUUUAAGGAGGAACUUUUAUAUGACACAACAACUAAUAGAAAAGGAUAAUGAGAUGAUCCAGAAAGGCUUACGGCAAGUUUGGAAGGAAAAACUCGCCUACCUUGAAAAAGUUAGAGAGAGGAAAACUAUGUUUCUGGCUGAAAAAAAGCUAAAUGCUGCAGACCAUUCUUUAGUGCAGACCAUCAGCAAUGAGCGGUCCCUUCUGCUCAAAGGAAUCAUUCAAGAUGACAGAAGGAAGAAAAAUUUGAGUGACUUAAGAGCGAAGCACCUGAAUGUUAAGGAAAAAAGGAAAACACAAAAAUAUAGACAAAGUUUGAUGAGGCAAAUGAAGGAGCUCAGGGCUGAGGAAAUUCGUAGAAGACACUAUGAAGAGAAAUUUGUUAUUGAUACACUCAUCUUUGAAAAAGCCUGUGCAAGACUAGAGGAGGCCAAAGCAAAGGUUGAAUUUGUUAGGACAAAUUAUACCUCUAAGUCUCUUAGGAAAGAGUCAGCAUGAGCCAAUGCCAGCUCACAUCUGAUAACCGUGAAUUGUGGCCACUAUUUUUAUUUAAAAAAUCUUGAAAUAAUACUUAGAAGAUGUGCUCUACACAAGAAAUGUGAGCACAGAGAAGACAGUAAAAAAGGAACAGGAGAAUGUAUUAAACUCUGUCAUGGCAAUGAUAAACUGUACCAAAACAGCAUUUAAGUAUUUAAUAUAAGUUAUAGAAAAUUUGAAAAGUAGA